rnacentral:rRNA from 1 species
AACGGACGCUGGCGGCAGGCCUAACACAUGCAAGUCGAGCGAAGCCUUCGGGCUUAGCGGCGGACGGGGGAGUAACGCGUGGGAACGUGCCCUUUGGUACGGAAUAGCCCCGGGAAACUGGGCGUAAUACAGAUUGUGGUCGGAAUACGAAAGAUUUAUCGCCAAAGGAUCGGCCCGCGUUGGAUUAGGUAGUUGGUAGGGUAAUGGCCUACCAAGCCGACGAUCCAUAGCUGGUUUGAGAGGAUGAUCAGCCACACUGGGACUGAGAAACGGCCCAGACUCCUACGGGAGGCAGCAGUGGGGAAUCUUAGACAAUGGGGGAAACCCUGAUCUAGCCAUGCCGCGUGAUCGAUGAAGGCCUUAGGGUUGUAAAGAUCUUUCAGUGGGGAAGAUAAUGACUGUACCCACAGAAGAAGCCCCGGCUAACUCCGUGCCAGCCGCCGCCGUAACAC